GAUGAACGCUGGCGGCGUGCCUAAUACAUGCAAGUCGAGCGAACGGACGAGAAGCUUGCUUCUCUGAUGUUAGCGGCGGACGGGUGAGUAACACGUGGAUAACCUACCUAUAAGACUGGGAUAACUUCGGGAAACCGGAGCUAAUACCGGAUAAUAUUUUGAACCGCAUGGUUCAAAAGUGAAAGACGGUCUUGCUGUCACUUAUAGAUGGAUCCGCGCUGCAUUAGCUAGUUGGUAAGGUAACGGCUUACCAAGGCAACGAUGCAUAGCCGACCUGAGAGGGUGAUCGGCCACACUGGAACUGAGACACGGUCCAGACUCCUACGGGAGGCAGCAGUAGGGAACCUUCCGCAAUGGGCGAAAGCCUGACGGAGCAACGCCGCGUGAGUGAUGAAGGUCUUCGAAUCGUAAAACUCUGUUAUUAGGGAAGAACAUAUGUGUAAGUAACUGUGCACAUCUUGACGGUACCUAAUCAGAAAGCCACGGCUAACUACGUG
rnacentral:rRNA from 1 species